GAAUCAGAGGACUGGUGAGACUGUUGAAUCUUAUGACUCCAGGCUGAAGUAAAACACAAUUCAAAAGAGUUUUUGAGGUUGGUGGGAGGAGCCAGUCGCUGUGCAGGCACACUGGAGCUGAAGCAUCAGGGAGAAUGGAGACCAGGCUUUGGUGGAGAUUCCUUUCAAAUGAAGGCAGCAGCCGCUGUCUGUGAACAUCUGAACUGUGGCUCUGCUGUUUCUUUACGAAGGAUAGAGAUGUCCUAUUCCAUAUCUAUGUGGCUACUUAGAGAGGUAUGUCAUCCUUCUGAUUAUGGUCUGCCAAGAUGUGUACUGUCAUGGGGUGGUUCUUCAGUCCGGGAGAUCACCU